CCUUCGAUAGCUCAGUCGGUAGAGCGGAGGACUGUAGUGUGAAGCUUCUCAGGCAUCCUUAGGUCGCUGGUUCGAAUCCGGCUCGAAGGA
rnacentral:tRNA from 1 species